rnacentral:misc_RNA from 1 species
CUGGUGGACUGAUUUGCUUUUCCAGUAGGCACAUAAACAAUAUGAUCAUCAUUCGUGAGUUUCACAGAAGCAAUUUGGAAGUUGGGGAAAGGUGUCUUUUGGAUUUAGAAAAGUUCCGAGUUUCAAUUAAUCAAUUUAUUGUUACAAUACUUUUACGCUUGUGUGUGUUUAUGUGAUUUAUAAACUUCUUUUUCAUAUGAACUGAGGUUAUUGUG